UUUCACACUAUAAAGUGAUCAUACAAUUUUUAAACUUUACACGCAAACAAAGGAAAUUAUGGUUAAAACUCUCAUGUUUUUUCAAAUUAUGUUUACUUUUAUUUUUAUAUUUACCGUUGUAAUUGAAGGCUUCCCUAAAUAUAAUCACUAUCAAAAGUGUUAUAAUGACAAAGAUUGCCCUGUAUUUCUGUGUAUACCUCCUAGAGUUCCAAAGUGCAUAAGAAAGUCUUGUCGAUGUGUUGACAAUUGAAUCCCAUCCUCAAAAGUUAUAAAAAUACCCAUUAGUGAUACCAUUAUUGAUAAUAAUUUUGCUUUUCCCACUUUUUGAUCAAGUUCAAAAAUAUGUGUGUGGUAGUUAUAAGAGUAUACUUGUAUUUGUAAUUAUAAUGUUGGUACUUUUAUUUAA